rnacentral:piRNA from 1 species
GACAGGAUCUUGAAGGCUAACUGC